rnacentral:rRNA from 1 species
GACGAACGCUGACAGAAUGCUUAACACAUGCAAGUCUACUUGAUUCUACUUCGGUAGUUGAUGGUGGCGGACGGGUGAGUAACGCGUAAAGAAUCUGCCCUUUAGUUCGGGAUAACCUUUGGAAACGAAGGAUAAUACCGGAUAUUAUGGAGACGUCGCAUGACGAUUUCAUGAAAGCUAUAUGCGCUAGAGGAGGACUUUGCGUCCCAUUAGUUAGUUGGUGAGGUAAUGACUCACCAAGACCGCGAUGGGUAGCCGGCCUGAGAGGGUGAUCGGCCACAAGGGAACUGAGACACGGUCCUUACUCCUACGGGAGGCAGCAGUGGGGAAUAUUGGACAAUGGGCCACAAGCCUGAUCCAGCAAUUCUGUGUGCACGAUGAAGGUCUUCGGAUUGUAAAGUGCUUUCAGUAGGGAAGAAAAAAAUGACGGUACCUACAGAAGAAGCGACGGCUAAAUAUGUGCCAGCAGCCGCGGUAAAAC